GAUGAAGAACGUAGCGAAAUGCGAUAAGUAAUGUGAAUUGCAGAAUUCAGUGAAUCAUCGAAUCUUUGAACGCACAUUGCGCCCCCUGGUAUUCCGGGGGGCAUGCCUGUUCGAGCGUCAUUACAACCCUCAAGCUCUGCUUGGUGUUGGGCCCCGCCGCCCCGGCGGGCCCUAAAGUCAGUGGCGGUGCCGUCCGGCUCCGAGCGUAGUAAUUCUUCUCGCUCUGGAGGUCCGGGUGUGUGCUCGCCAGCAACCCCCAAUUUUUUUCAGGUUGACCUCGGAUCAGGUAGGGAUACCCGCUGAACUUAAGCAUAUCAAUAAGCGGAGGA
rnacentral:misc_RNA from 1 species